GCUUGGGUAGCUCAGCUGGUUACAGCAUGGUGCUGAUAAUGCCAAGGUUGCAGGUUCGAUCCCCGUAUGGGGCA